rnacentral:rRNA from 1 species
UACGUAGGUGGCAAGCGUUGUCCGGAUUUACUGGGCGUAAAGAGCGCGCAGGCGGUCGUUCAAGUCGCGUGUGAAAGCCCCCGGCUCAGCUGGGGAGGGUCACGCGAUACUGAUCGACUCGAAGGCAGGAGAGGGUAGUGGAAUUCCCGGUGUAGUGGUGAAAUGCGUAGAUAUCGGGAGGAACACCAGUGGCGAAGGCGACUACCUGGCCUGUUCUUGACGCUGAGGCGCGAAAGCUAGGGGAGCAAACGGG